GAUAAUGUGUUUGGGUGGCAUGCAUAUUUAUGGUAUGACAAAGUUAAAGCGCAUAAGGCCUUCAAGAAUCAUAUUGUCAGGAAAGCAUUAUUUAAUGUUUGGGUGAGAUAUAAGGAUUUGUUGGAAAGUAAAACACCAAGGUGGCUGUCACCAAUGGAGGCUAAGGCUUUGAAAAAAACAAACAUGGAGACAAAUUGGCCAAAAUAUUGCGAAAUUUUAGAACAAGUCGGAGAUAAAUUAAAAUUGCAGAGCUUUGACAAAUUAAAAACUAAAGUCCGAGAUUGGCUGCAUUAUUAUCAAAUAAGGGAGGUUUUUAACUUAGAUAAAUAGAUAGGUUUCCAGGAGGAAAAAUCUAAACUGGAAACGGAAUUGUUAGAACCUAAAACCAAAAAUUUGUCAAGAAUGUAUAAUCUGCUGUUGAAAUGGAAUACACAGGAUGAAAUGGUUAAAUCUGCUAUGAUUAAAUGGGCGCAAGAUGUGGGGCAUAAUAUUAUGUUUGCUGACUGGGAAAGGUUAUGGACCACAGGUAUGAAAUUCACGGCCUGUAACGCCUUAAGAGAAAACAUAAUGAAAAUGAUAUACAGGUGGUACUUAACCCCAGUCAAGCUAGCAAAAAUUUAUCAUCUGCCUGAUAAUAAAUGUUGGAAAUGUAAAGAAAAUGAAGGUACUUUUUUCCACCUUUGGUGGACGUGCCCAAAGAUCAAGGCCUUCUGGGAAAUGAUAUAUAAUGAACUAAAAAAGGUAUUGAAAUAUACUUUCUUGAAGAAACCAGAGGCCUUCCUCUUGGGCAUGGUCGGCCAAUUGGUGCGAAGGGAAGACAGGAAUUUCUUUAUGUAUGCGACAGCAGCGGCAAGAAUACUCAUUGGGAAAUACUGGAAGACACAAGAGUUGCCUACCCGAGAAGAAUGGCAGAGAAAAGUGAUAGACUAUAUGGAACUGGCUGAGAUGACCGGCAGAAUACGAGACCAAGAAGAAGGGUCGAUGGAAGAAGAUUGGAAAAAAUUUAAAACAUAUCUUCAGAAAUACUGUAAUAUAAAAGAAUGCUAGAAAAGGUUGGAGAAGAACAUUAGACCGUAUUGGCAGACAGAGUAUAAUGGAAUAAGGAAAUAUGUAGUGUUAUGUAAAAUUGAGAGGAGAAUUAAAUAUUUUUGAAUGUUAAAUUAAGUAAAUGAAAAGAAGGUUAGAAGGGUUUGCUGGAGAUACGACUUAAAUUAGAAUACAAAGCAGAGAAGUGAGAGGAAGUCUUGGAAAUAAGUAAAUGGGAAAAUGAUCUUAAUGGUUUAAUUUGAUUUUUUGUUACUUUUGUAUUGUGAUUUUUUGUCUUUUGUAUUUUUUUCUGUAUCGUGUGGUGUUCUUUUUUUGUAGGGUGUAUGUGAUUUGUUUUUCUUUUUUUGCUUUUUUCUUUCUAUGUAAUCUUAAAAUUGGAAUAAAUAUUCUUUAAAAAAGAAAAAAGAAAAAGAAAUCCCCUUGAUCUGAAAGGAAAUCUGGGUUUUUUGGGUGUUUUUUAUUUAUUUAUCAGGAUGUCCGUUUCUGUCUCUCAGCUGACUCUGCAUAUUCUUCUCUUUCCCUCAUCUUCUCCCCAACAGCAAAUGUCACUCUGGAUCCAGACACAGCCCAUCCCAGGCUCAUCCUGUCGAAGGAUGGGAAAAGUGUGAGAUGGGGAGACAAACCUCAAGCCCUGCCUGAUAAUCCUGAGAGAUUC
rnacentral:lncRNA from 1 species